rnacentral:rRNA from 1 species
AGCGAACGCUGGCGGCAGACUUAACACAUGCAAGUCGAGCGGGCCCUUCGGGGUCAGCGGCAGACGGGUGAGUAACACGUGGGAACGUACCCUUUGGUUCGGAAUAACGCUGGGAAACUAGCGCUAAUACCGGAUACGCCCUUUUGGGGAAAGGCUUGCUGCCGAAGGAUCGGCCCGCGUCUGAUUAGCUAGUUGGUGGGGUAAUGGCCUACCAAGGCGACGAUCAGUAGCUGGUCUGAGAGGAUGAUCAGCCACACUGGGACUGAGACACGGCCCAGACUCCUACGGGAGGCAGCAGUGGGGAAUAUUGGACAAUGGGCGCAAGCCUGAUCCAGCCAUGCCGCGUGAGUGAUGAAGGCCUUAGGGUUGUAAAGCUCUUUUGUCCGGGACGAUAAUGACGGUACCGGAAGAAUAAGCCCCGGCUAACUUCGUGC